GGGCCUAUAAUUUAAUUGGUAAAAUAGUGGUCUCCAAAACCACCGUUCUCCGUUCAAGUCGGAGUGGGCCCG
rnacentral:tRNA from 1 species